rnacentral:rRNA from 1 species
GACGAACCGUGCGAACGUUAUUCGGAAUCACUGGGCUUAAAGGGCGCGUAGACGGGUCGGCGCAUCGGUCGCUGAAAUCCCCCGGCUCAACCGGGGAACGGGCGCCGAGAUGGCCGACCUCGAGUGGAGGAGAGGGACCUGGAACUGCCGGUGGAGCGGUGAAAUGCGUUGAGAUCGGCAGGAACUCCGAUGGCGAAAGCAAGGUCCUGGACUCCCACUGACGUUGAGGCACGAAAGCCAGGGUAGCGAACGGGG